AUUGAACGCUGGCGGCAUGCCUUACACAUGCAAGUCGAACGGUAACGGGCCUUCGGGUGCCGACGAGUGGCGAACGGGUGAGUAAUGUAUCGGAACGUACCUUUCAGUGGGGGAUAACGUAGCGAAAGUUACGCUAAUACCGCAUAUUCUGUGAGCAGGAAAGCAGGGGAUCGCAAGACCUUGCGCUGAUUGAGCGGCCGAUAUCAGAUUAGCUAGUUGGUGAGGUAAAGGCUCACCAAGGCGACGAUCUGUAGCGGGUCUGAGAGGAUGAUCCGGCACACUGGAACAGAGACACGGUCCAGACUCCUACGGGAGGCAGCAGUGGGGAAUUUUGGACAAUGGGGGCAACCCUGAUCCAGCCAUGCCGCGUGAGUGAAGAAGGCCUUCGGGUUGUAAAGCUCUUUCGGCCGGGAAGAAAUCGUAUGGGUUAAUACCCUGUGCGGAUGACGGUACCGGCAUAAGAAGCACCGGCUAACUACGUGCCAGCAGCCGCGGUAAGAC
rnacentral:rRNA from 1 species